rnacentral:rRNA from 1 species
AACGAACGCUGGCGGCAGGCCUAACACAUGCAAGUCGAACGCCCGUAGCAAUACGGGAGUGGCAGACGGGUGAGUAACGCGUGGGAACGUGCCCUUCGGUUCGGAAUAACUCAGGGAAACUUGAGCUAAUACCGGAUACGUCCGUAAGGAGAAAGAUUUAUCGCCGAAGGAUCGGCCCGCGUCGGAUUAGCUAGUUGGUGAGGUAACGGCCCACCAAGGCGACGAUCCGUAGCUGGUCUGAGAGGANGAUCAGCCACACUGGGACUGAGACACGGCCCAGACUCCUACGGGAGGCAGCAGUGGGGAAGUAUUGGACAAUGGGCGGAAAGACCUGAUCCAGCCAUGCCGCGUGAGUGAAGAAGGCCUUAGGGUUGUAAAGCUCUUUCAGCGGGAAGAUAAUGACGGUACCCGCAGAAGAAGCCCCGGCUAACUUCGUGCC